GACUUGGUAGCUCCGUUGGUAAAGCACUGCACCGGUAUGCAUGGUUCGAAUCCCGUCUAAGCCU